rnacentral:rRNA from 1 species
UAAUUUGCCCACUGAUAAUAAUUAAAGGGCCGCAGUAUUUUGACUGUGCGAAGGUAGCAUAAUCAGUAGUCUUUUAAUUGGAGGUUGUAUGAAUGGUUGAAUGAGAUAUAUACUGUCUUUUUUAAAAUUAUAUAGAAUUUUAUUUUUUAAUUAAAAAGUUAAAAUAAAAUUAAAGGACGAGAAGACCCUAUAGAUCUUUAUUUUUCUUAAUUAUAAAUUAAAAAGAAUUUUAAAAUUUAUAAUUUAAUAAAAAAUUUUAUUGGGGUGAUAUUAAAAUUUAAAAAACUUUUAAAAUUUAUUAACAUUAAUAUAUGAAUAAAUGAUCAAUUUUAUUGAUUAAAAAAUUAAGUUACCUUAGGGAUAACAGCGUAAUUUUUUUUUAGAGUUCAUAUCGACAAAAAAGAUUGCGACCUCGAUGUUGGAUUAAGAGUUAUUUUUAGGUGUAGAAGUUUAAAG